rnacentral:lncRNA from 1 species
GUCAGCGGCCGGAAGGGAAACGCGAAGCCAGCGCGGCCGCGGGGGGAGUCCGGUUCCUUGAAGGUCCUCCGUCCUGGAGCAGUAAGAUCCUUGACGUAACUAGAAAUGGCAGGGUAAGGAGUGUUUGCCUGACAUCGUCUCGUUUUUACGGAAGAGGGCCCCUCACGAUGUGCCCAUCAGCCCCACCUGAAAUAGCAAGAAAUCUUCUUCAGCAGAGAGCGAAUAACAAGGAUAUUAAGAUAAAGAACAGGUGAAGGGGGCAGUCAGCUGAAGCUUGUAAGGGAAUUUUCCUCACGCCGGCACUUACCCCUUGCUUGCUAAUUUUUGUGUUCAACGUGUUUACAUAGACAUGUGACUGCAAAGUCCGAAAGAUCGUGUACAGAAUCUCUGAACGGUAACCAGAGUGUCUGUCAAGGCUCUGUAGUCAUUCUCUCGAUAGCUUUUGUGGAGGUUAUGGCACGCCCAUCUCUCCAUGCCAGAACCACCUGGUUCCAAAUGCUUUGCCUUUCUGCUGCUUGAAGUUGAUACUAUAAACAGUCUGCCCAACCCGUUUUGUUUCCCACUAGCAGGUGAUCCUUAGGAUUGUAGUUCUAUUCUACCAUCAUCUUCCCUUCUUCCUUGUCUUUCUCACAGAAUUGGGUUUUUGCAGACUUACUUUGGAUCCUGAGGCAGACAUUCGUUGUCCACUCAACAUACAUUCCCACGUAUCCCUUUUUUCCCUGCCAACACAACCCCAAUUAUUUUUAUUUGAAUUUUUUUUUUUUGAGACAAAGUCUCACUCUGUCGCCAAGGUUAGAGUGCAGUGGUGCGAUCACAGUUCACUACAGCCUCCACUUUAUGGGCUCAAGGGAUCCUCCCACUUCCCUAGUAGCUGGGGCUACAGGCGCUCUCCACCACACGUAACUAAUUGUUUUUUAUUUUUAGUAGGGACAGGGUCUUGCUAUGUUACCCAGGCUGGUCUCAAACUCCUGGCCUCAACUGAUCCUCCGGCCCAAAAUGUUAGGAUUACAGGUAUGAGCCAACGUGCUGGUCUCACGUUUUUUCAGGUAGCAGUUGAAACCAACCAUCAUGGUGAUCUGGCUUUUCUAGGGCUGGCCAUACAUAAUUGAGUUCCUCCUGAUAAAAGGUAAGCAACAAUCCUGAGAAACAUAGUGGGAGCCCUGUGUCUACAAAAAUUUAAAAGGUGGCUGGGCGCGUUGGCUCACUCCUGAAAUCCCGCACUUAGGGAGGCUGAGGUGAGCAAAUCACCUGAGGUCGGGAGCUCUAGACCGGCCUGACCAACAUGGACAAAGCUCAUCUCUGCUAAAAAUACAAAAUUAGGCAUGGUGGUGCAUGCCUGUAAUCCCAGCUACUCAGGAGGCUGAGGCAGGAGAAUCGCUUGAACCCGGGAGGCAGGGGUUGCGGUGAGCCGAGAUCGCGCCAUUGCACUCCAGCCUGGGAUAAGAGUGAAACUCCGUCUCAUAAAAAAAAAAAAAAAAAAAGGCCAGGCAUGGUGGUUCAUGCCUGUAAUCCCAGCGCUUUGGGAGGCCGAGGCGAGAAGAUCACUAAAUCAGGAGAUUGAGACCAUCCUGGCUAACACGGUGAAACCCCGUCUCUACUAAAAAUACAAAAAAUUAGCCAGGCAUGGUGGUGGGCGCCUGUAGUCCCAGCUACUUGGGAGGCUGAGGCAGGAGAAUGGCAUGAACCCAGGGAGCAAAGCUUGCAGUGAGCUGAGAUCGCGCCACUGCACUCCAGCCUGGGCGACACAGCAAGACUCCGUCUCAAAAAAAAAAAAAAAAAAUUACCUGGUCGUGGUGGCUCACGACUAUAAUCAUAGUACUUUGAGAGUCCAAGGCAGAUGGAUUGCUUGAGCCUGGGAGUUCUACAUCAACCUGGGCAACAUGGCAAAAGUCCAUCUCCAGUACAUAAGAAAAUUAGUGGAAUGUGGUGGUGCACACCUGUAAUCCCAGCUACUGGGGAGGCUGAGGUGGGAGGAUCACUAGAGCCCAGGAGAUUGAGACUGCAGUGAGCUGUGGUCAUACCACUGCAGUCUAGCCUGGGUGACAGAGUGAGACCCUCUCUGGAAAAAAAAAGAAAUGUAAGCAGAAAUCUGCAGGAUGGGUUCUUUGGGAAGAAUUCCCAAAAGAAUUCCUAAUACGAUGAGGGACAAAUUCAGCUAACAUACCAUUUAACCCUUUCUGCCUGAAACAUGGUCUUGAUGCACAAAGUAAUACCCAUCUUGUAAUUUUUUUAACAAUGAAAACUUUUACCCCAUUUGCGAUUUCAUUGUUUAAAAAAUUUGAUUAAACAGGCCGGGCACAGUGGCUCACGCCUGUAAUCCCAACACUUUGGGAGGCUGAGGCAGGUGGAUCACCUGAGGUCAGAGUUCAAGACCAGCCUUACCUACAUGCUGAAACCCCAUCUCUUCUAAAAAUAUAAAAAAUGAGCCGGGUGUGGUGGCGGGCACUUUGUAAUCCCAGCUACUCGGGAGGCUGAGGCUGGAGAAUUGCUUGAACCCGGGGGUGGAGGUUGCAGUGAGCCGAGAUUCUGCCAUUGCACUCCAGCCUGGGCAACAAGAGCAAAAAAAAUUCCAUCUCGAAAAAAAAUGAUAAAACAGAAUCAUAAAGUGUGGAUCCCUGAUGCAUCUUUGAACAACAGUCUAUGCUCAGACUGCUUAUGUGAGAAAAAUAAAAUGUAUUUUUCUUGGCUGGGCAUGGUGGCCUACACCUGUAUUCCCAGAACUUUGAGAGGCUAAGGAGGGCAGAUCACUUGAGGACAGGAGUUAGAGACCGGCCUGGCCAACGUAAUGAAACCCAUCUCUACUAAAAAUACAAAAAUUAGGCUGGGCGCAAUGGCUCACGCCUGUACUCCCAGCACUUUGGGAGGGGGAGGUGGGCAGAACACAAGGUCAGGAGUUCAAGACCAGCCUGGCCAACGUAGUGAAGCCUCGUCUCUACUAAAAAUACAAAAAUUAGCCGGGUUUGAUGGCGCAUGCCUAUAGUCCCAACUACUUGGGAGGCUGAGGCAAGAGAAUUGCUUGAACCCAGGAGGCAGAAGUUGCAGUGAGCCAAGAUCGCACCAGUGCACUCCAGCCUCGGCGACAGAGCAAGACUCCGUCUCAAAAAAAAAAAAAAGCCGGUUGUGGUGGAGGGCACCUGUAAUCCCAGCCACUCAGAAGGCUGAGGCAGGAGAAUCCCUUGAACCCGGGAGGCAGAGGUUGCAGUGAGCUGCAGUUGCCACUGCACUCCAGCCUGGAUGACAGAGCAAGACUCCUCAAAAAAGUUCUUUUUCUUUAAGCCAUUCUUCAGAUUUUCGUUACUUGUAACCAAACACAUUUCUAACUACUGAUUACAGAUACUCUUUUUUUUUUUUUUUUUUUUUUUUGAGUCUCGCUUUUUUUGCCCAGGCUGGAGUGCAGUGGAGUGAUCUCCGCUCACUGCCAGCUCCGCCUCCCGGGUUCAGGCCAUUCUCCUGCCUCAGCCUCCUGAGUAGCUGGGACUACAGGUGCCACCACCACACCUGUCUACUUUUUUGUAUUUUUAGUAGAGAUGGGGUUUCUCCAUGUUGGUCAGGCUGGUCUCGAACUCCCACCCUCAGGUGAUCCGCCCGCCUCGGCCUCCUAAAGUGCUGUGAUUACAGGCGUGAGCCACCGCGCCCGGCCAAGUGUGUAUAACUGUUGAUCAACAUUUUGAAGACCAGUUAUGACAGUUAAAUUAUUUGCCACAACUCAAAUGAACAGCAGAGCACUUUAUCACAAACUAACAUUCACCCUGGAAUGUACUGUACAGUCAACCUAUUCUGUCUCCUUCCAUCUCUCCAUUCCUAUGCCUUUCAUCUUUUUAUUUUAUUUUAAUUUUUUUUUGAGAUGGAGUCUUGCUCUGCUGCCCAGGGUGGAGUGCAGUGGCGCAAUCUCGGCUCACUGCAAGCUCUGCCUCCUGGGUUCAAGCGAUUCACCUGCCUCAGCCUCCUAAAUAGCUGGGAUUACAGAUGUGUGCCAUCACAUUGGGCUAAUAUUUAUAUUUUUAGUAGAGACAGGGAUCUUACUAUGUUGCCCAGGCUGUUCUUGAACUCGGUCUCAAGUGAUCCACCCACCUCAGCCUCCCAAAGUGAUGGGAUUACAGGUAUGAGCCACCAGCCCUGGCCUAAAUUUAAAAAAAAGGGUAUUCCUAUGUUGCCCAGACUGGUCUCGAACUCCUGAGCUCCAGCAAUCCUCCCACCUGCCAAAGUGCUAGGAUUACAGUUGAGCCACUGCACCCCACAGAGAUCUCACUGUGUUGCCCAGGCUGCAGUGCAGUGACAAUUCAUAGGCCCAGCAUGCUUUGAACGGCAUGCUUUGAGGUGAUCCUCCUGCCUCAGCCUCCCAAGUAGCUGGGACUACAGGCAUAUUCCACCACUUUCCUGGCUCAAGGAAUCCUCCUGCCUCAGCCUCCUGGGUAGCUGGGAGGACAAGUGUGUGUCACCACACCUGGACAACUGGGGGUGUAUUUGUAUCUUAUGGGAUGGAUAUUUGGUGAUUUGUUAUGAGCAAAUUGAUACCCUUCUGUUUGUGGAGAUUCUCUUGAAUCCUUUUUUCCAUACACUCCAUUUUCUUCUGUUUGGAACUCAUGUUUACUUAUGGAGUGGUCCUCAAAUUUUUAAAAGUUUAUAUUUUGCAUCUUUUUCUCUUUUCCCUCUAUUUUUGGGAGAUUUAAAUUUCUUUUUUUUUCUUUUUGAGGAGUCUCGCUGUCGCCCAGGCUGGAGUGCAGUGGCGCCGUCUCAGCUCACUGCAAGCUCCGCCUCCCGGGUUCACGCCAUUCUCCUGCGUCAGCCUCCCAAGUAGCUGGGACUACAGGUGCCCACCACCAUGCCCGGCUAAUUUCUUUGUAUUUUUAGUAGAGACAGGGUUUCACAGUGUUAGCCAGGAUGGUCUCCAUCUCCUGACCUCGUGAUCCGCCCGCCUUGGCCUCCCAAAGCGCUGGGAUUACACACGUGAGCCACCGCACCUGCCUCUGCAACUCAUUUUUUAUUUCUGCUAUUCUCUAAUUUCCAAAAUUCUGUUCUCUUGAUAUACCUUUACUGUGGUAUUGUUUUUCUUGGUUGCAGAAAGCUCUCAACUUUUCUAAGGGUACUGGUGAUUGAUAUUUUUGUUUACUUUUGCCUGUGCAGUCUGUUUUCAACUUGCCCGUUUCCAUUUUAAAAUUCAUAUUGAGACUGCCCUUAGAUGUCUGAUAAUCCUUAGUUGUCCAUUUACACACCCAUUAUAUAAAAUGUAUAGGGAAGGCCAGGCACGGUGGCUCACGCCUAUAAUCCCAGCACUUUGGGAGGCUGAGGUGGGUGGAUCACCUGAGGUCAGGAGUUUGAGACCAGCCUGUCUAAACAUGGCAAAACCCCAUCUUUAGUAAAAGCACAAACAGCUGGUUGCGUUGAUGCGUGCCUGCAGCCCCAGCUUCUCUGGAGGCUGAGGCUGGAGAAUCGCUUGAAUCCGGGAGGCGGAGGUAGUAGUGAGCCGAGAUCACGCCACUGCACUCCAGCCUGAGCAACAGAGCAAGAUUCUAUCACCCCCACCCCCCACCCCGCAAAAAAAAAAAUCAAUCUAUAUCUGAGAGAGAGUGUCUCACUCUGGCUGGAGUGCAGUGGCACAAUCUCAGCUCACAGCAACCUCUCCUUCCCAAAUUCAAGAGAUUCUCCUGGCUCAGCCUCCCAAGCAGCUGGAACUACAGGCACGUGCCACCACACUUGGCUAAUUUUUGUAUUUUUUUGUAGAGACAGGGUUUCACUGUGUUGGCCAGGCAGGUCUGGGACUCUUGGCCUCAAGUGAUCCGCCCACCUUGGCCUCCCAAAGGGCAGGGAUUACAGGUGUGAGCUACCAAGCCUGGCUCCACUCACCCUUUUGAGAAGGCUCAUGGCUACUUAGUUUACUUACAUUUUUUAAGAAUACAAUUAGUAUUUGUACCAGGUUACAUCUGUGUUCUCAUUCCAAGGCUAAUGUUUAUUCUUUGUUACAUUUAGAUGCUAAGUAGAGUUAGACAAGAAGUGCCCUCUAAUCCCAAAUAAAGGUAAAAUGAGUCAAAAUGCCACAGGAGGAAUUUGUUUCUUGAGAACAAAAGGUAUCUUAGGAACAUGUU